rnacentral:rRNA from 1 species
AUUGAACGCUGGCGGCAGGCCUAACACAUGCAAGUCGAACGAGUGGCGGACGGGUGAGUAAUGUCUGGGAAACUGCCAGAUGGAGGGGGAUAACUACUGGAAACGGUAGCUAAUACCGCAUACCAUCGGAUGUGCCCAGAUGGGAUUAGCUAGUAGGUGGGGUAAAGGCGCACCUAGGCGACGAUCCCUAGCUGGUCUGAGAGGAUGACCGGCCAACAUGGAACUGAGACACGGUCCAGACUCCUACGGGAGGCAGCAGUGGGGAAUAUUGCACAAUGGGCGCAAGCCUGAUGCAGCCAGGCCGCGUGUAUGAAGAAGGCCUUCGGGUUGUAAAGUACUUUCAGCGGGGAGGCGUUACUCGCAGAAGAAGCACCGGCUAACUCCGUGCCAGCAGCCGCGGUAAUUC